ensembl:lncRNA
AACCAAGAGCAUACAAAAAAAGAACAGAUGCAUAAACCUGUACAACACCUGAAAUGAGGUUUUGUAAAGAUGAAGUUCCAUAAAGUGAAGUCCUUGUUUUUAUAUUCUUCACUACACGGCAACAUCACUAGACUAAGUAAUUAAUUUUUUUUUAUUAUGACAGGAUAGUUUUGUUUUGAAGUGUUCUUUUAUUCUGAUAUAACUAGCGAUGUUUGUCAGGUUUUGUGUCUGAGUCUACGAGAGUAACAUGUGGAAGACUGGUCAUGGGCUGGGUUAAGUUACGAGAAGUAAACAAAAUGAAAUAAUGUCAUAAACAGCACUGGGAGGAGUCACUGGAUAUGAACGCUUACAUUAUUUAUUAUCAGGAUGUUUACUGCUGAUCUAAUGAAGCGGAACAUGAGAGAUAGGAUAUGACAGUGAUAUGUUGAAAACAUUUACAUAUGUGAAUCAAGCCACAUCAGGAAAGUAAUGUAACAGUAUUUACACUUGUGAAUCGCGUGAUAUUUAUGUGAAUCAGGAAAUACAUUUGUGAAUCGAGUGACAUUUAUUUUUGAAUCAUGUGAAAUGCUUUUGUGAAUCACUUUAUACAUUUGUGAUUCGCAGGACAAUUAUGUGUCAGUUUUGAAAAUAUUCUAACUCCAUUUUGACAUCCUGGAUUUUUUUCGUCUGAACUAUUUGAUGGUGUACAAACACAUGCAGUUACAGUGAUUUAACUGCAGAGGGAGCCAUAUACCACUCCGUGAGUUCUCUGAGAGUCUCCACACCAAGGAGGUUCCUUCUAAUGGGGACAGCUGGUAAGGAGGAGAUUUUACAGUAAAAGAUAGUAACCCCACAAGUGCAUGACAUUGGUGUAUGGCUAAGGACAAACCAAGAAGCUAAAAAGAGAUUAGAAAAGAAUAAGAUGGAAGUUAAUCAACCAUGUCCAGCAUUGUACAAUUCAUUUAGGAGUGUAAGACUGGUGUUUAACUAUAGAUAGAUCUCUGGUCAGGAGCAUCAAAUUGUUACAGAAACGAAAUUACACUUCUACUUGUAUUAUUUACACUCAGUCAAAUCACCAGAAAUGACAUGACAGGCAGCUUUCUACUUCUAAAUGAUAAAACUAUGUGGAGUAUCUCGAUGAGAUCGAACUCUCUGAAGACAAUCUAAAGACGUCCCCCCUCGCCACACUUCAUCUGGGCCCUGG